rnacentral:rRNA from 1 species
GACGUAGGAGGCGAGCGUUGUCCGGAUUCAUUGGGCGUAAAGAGCGCGCAGGCGGCUUGGUAAGUCGGAUGUGAAAACCCGAGGCUCAACCUCGGGCGUGCAUCCGAUACUGCUCGGCUAGAGGUAGGUAGGGGAGAUCGGAAUUCAUGGUGUAGCAGUGAAAUGCGUAGAGAUCAUGAGGAAGACCAGUGGCGAAGGCGGGUCUCUGGACAGUUCCUGACACUGAGGAGCGAAAGCGUGGGGAGCGAACAGG